UGGACCAACCUUGGUUCGCGGGAAGUUGAGAGAAAUGUCCACGGACUGCCGAAGGCCAUUGGAGAACGAAUGACACUAUGCAAAUUUCCCGCAUAAACGCACGUCCUCCUCCCUCUUUGACAAGAGUUGAUGCUUGUAAAUGACAUUGGCUCAAAAUACACUGUUAUCUAUCCAAAUGCCUCGUCAUCUAAUUAGUGACGCGCACGAAUGGAUUAACGAGAUUCCUACUGUCCCUAUCCAGCGAAACCACAGCCAAUGGAACGGGCUUGGCAGAAUUAGCGCGGAAAGAAGACCCUGUUGAGCAUGACUCUCGUCUGUAGGACUUGUAAACUGCUCUUUUUCAUGCUCAG
rnacentral:ncRNA from 1 species